rnacentral:tRNA from 1 species
GCCGGUGUAGCUCAACUGGUAGAGCAACUGACUUGUAAUCAGUAGGUUGGGGGUUCAAGUCCUCUCGACGGCACCA